GGUGGUGUUUUCUACUGCUGUCGUCAGGGUAACACGUCGGGCCUGCGGAUCUUAGCGCUGGAGGAGCAGCUGAGUUCCCUAGGGGCCCUGCCUGAGUUCUCCAUACACCACAGAGAAUACAGGUACAGGGAAACGUAGUCUGCAGAGACAUACAGCAAGAAGAAUAAAGAGCAAGACUGUUUGUCCAAAGCCACAGUACAACAAACUACGCAGAUCCACUUACUGUAUAAAGGGUCUCAAUUUCACGUCGUCUUGUGACUCGUAAGAUGGACCAUUCUUAAUAUAUUCAGUAUGUAUUUGUGGAUCCUCCCGAUCUGUUGAGGAGACAGAUCACUUAGAAUCUACGACUCUAGCACCCCCUAGUGGUGUUUCUCAGAAAUGUGGAAAAUGUUGACUUAACACAAAGCAACAUGCCUUUUUAACUUUUUCUUGGUAGCCUAUAUUUCGUAGAAUUUGAUUUCAGGCUGUCGCAGUCCACUCCUAAAAUAAAUUGUCUUCCUGCUCUAUUUGUUUGUCUCAGCUCAACUGGCUAUGCCUGUUUCAUUGUCUUGCUGUAAAUUGUGUUAUUCUUUAAAGUAAUUAAAGUCAGCAAAUUUCCUUGCAAAUUCAUUUUA